ACCUGGGUGGCUCAGUCAGUUGGGCAUCUGACUUCGGCUCAGGUCAUGAUCUCAUGGUCUGUGGGUUUGAGCCCCACAUCAGGCU
rnacentral:tRNA from 1 species